rnacentral:rRNA from 1 species
GCAAUUUGGGAAACACGGCCGCGAAGGGAUGCGGGAAGGGCCGGACGCGCCGGGCUCAAAUACAGCAGACUCCGGCGCCACCGCGCACGCACGCACGCACGCGGAGCGGGGGCCCUGUCCAAAGCGCGUGAUCCAUUUCCUCCUCGCUUCCUUCUCUCUCGGUCUCGGUGCGUGCGUCACUCCGUCGGCCCGUCCCCCUCACCGGCGACUUGUCGCCUCGCGGCCACUCCCAGCCCCAGCGUGGGCGCGUGUGUUGCGAGCCAUGGCCGGCGAGAAGAGGAUGUUCGGCUUCGAGGAGGUCGCCAAGCACAACGUCGCCAAGGACUGCUGGCUCGUCAUCGCCGGCAAGGUGUAUGAUGUCACCCCUUUCAUGGAUGAGCAUCCUGGUGGAGAUGAGGUACUGCUGGCAGUAACCGGGAAAGAUGCAACCAGCGAUUUCGAAGAUAUCGGACACAGUGAUUCCGCAAGGGAGAUGAUGGAGAAGUACCACAUCGGGGAGAUUGAUGCUUCAACCAUCCCAGCAAAGCGUACAUUUGUACCUCCUCAGCAAGGGUCCCAUGUCCAGGCCAAGGAUAGCGACCUCCUCAUCAAGAUCCUGCAGUUUCUUGUUCCCAUUUUAAUCUUGGGGCUUGCAUUUGGUGUCCGGCACUACAGCAAAUCUGAGUAGGCUGUUGUUGGCGAGUUGCUUCGGAGAAAUAGCUUUCAAGUAAUAUGGUUUGAGGUAGAACAACAUAAUAAUGGUAUUGGUUGGCUGGUUUGAGUUAGAACAACAUAAUGAUGGUAUUCGUUGGGUGGCAGUGUGUUGUCUCAUUGAUCAUACAAGGCACUCUCAGUUCCAAACAUCUAUAUGUAUGCUCAGAUUACUCGAAUUAUGUUUACAUUCUCAACAUAUGGAGUCUCUACAUAUUUUUUUAGCCGAUGGAGUGUCUACAAUUGAGGAUGAUGGGAACAUUGCUAUGCUAUUAACAAUCUCAAUUUCAGAAUAAAUAUGGACAUCAUACAUUGCAGUGAUGUUCCCACAUAGUAAUUUGUCUGUCGGUUUCACUGUAUUUGACCAUAUUCUUGCAGUUAUACACGCC